rnacentral:rRNA from 1 species
UACGGAGGGUGCGAGCGUUGUCCGGAAUCAUUGGGCGUAAAGGGCGCGUAGGUGGCCACUUCAAGCGUGCGGGGAAAGUCGGGGGCUCAACCCCUGAUCGGCCGUGCGAACUGGGGGCUGGAGCACUGUAGAGGCAGGCGGAAUUCCGGGUGUAGCGGUGGAAUGCGUAGAGAUCCGGAAGAACACCGGUGGCGAAGGCGGGCUGCUGGGCAGUUUUGCUGACACUGAGGCGCGACAGCGUGGGGAGCAAACAGG